ensembl:lncRNA
GCAUACUAUAUUAUAAGUCAUAUUAAAAUUUAUUUAAAAAAUACAUGGUCACAUUAGAAAGCAUAUUUACAGUGGUAAAGCAGCAACAGUUUUUAUUUAUUACAAAUCCUAAAAAAUAAUCCAACUUCAUAUGUAAAAAGGAACACAGAUUAUCAUUGAAAACAUUUAAAUUUAAAAUUACCUACUAAACAAAAAAUCUUUACAUUCGCACAAGUCCAAUGUAUCUGUUGAUUUUUACAAAGAAUCUCUGCAGGGUUUGGGGCCCUAUCAACAAUUUCUAUUAAGCACAAUGAUAACAAAAUAAAGCAAUAAAACAAUUGGGCACCCCUAGUGGACAACAAAGAUGAAGAGUCUGUCAAUCAGGGGUGGGUUUAUGACAACUGAGAAACCCGCCCUGUUGGCAAAACAAGACUCUUUACCAACUGAGCCUCGGCCCCCGUACUUUCUGCCCCACGGCUGUCAGCGUCCACCAGGGAUUGCAGUGGGCUAGACCCUGCCUUGUGGUGCCAGUUUCAGGAAGCAGCCAUCCUUUUCAUGACAAACAGGGUUGCCAACUGGGUCGAGCCAUAACAAAAUGCAUUUGAAAUCAGUAAGACUAAACUGUGUACAAAUAAACAAUAAUGAGUGUUACAAAAACCAAACCAACAACCACAACAAUAACAGAAUAGGCUUCUCGAAAUCUAGAAACCAGAAAGCCAUUUAAAAAUGUUUAAAUAUAAUUAUACAAGAAAAAAAAAUCUCGGCUAAACAACAAAGUCAAGCAGCCUUAUUUUCAAAUCUACACGACUAAACAAUGACCUGUGCUGGCAUUUACUACAUGAACUCUGGUAUUUCUUCCCUUGGUAUGUUAGGACAUGUUAGAGAACGUAAGUGGAAAACAUACAGAGAAGGCGCUAUUUGGGUACUAGCAAAAAGAAUAACUCACUCCCCACCAUCAACACCCCCAGCAAAAAUUCACACUAAUAAUGUGGGUUUUAAUACUCCAUGAUGGAUGCUCUAAACACAAUCCUUUAAAAUUCUGUGCAAAUUGUAUUUUUGGUGUCAACCAACAGUCACUUGAAGCACGUCAGGAAAAUCGGGCAGAGAAAAUCAUAAGCAACUCCAGAGGGAAAAGAGAGCUGGAAUCUUGGCACAAUUUUAUCAUGUGGUUUGUAAUCUCAGAAUAUGCCCUGAUUUAAGAGGAAAGAAGAUAAGACUGCUCCCUCAGCAUUAUCAGUAUUGGAGGGUGAUGACUUUUCCUUAUUCUCUCUGCUAAGCAAUCAAGUAAGUUUAGAAGAUAAUUUGGCAAACACAGAUUCUAGUUCAAAAUAGUUCAACUAUCUGCACAUACCCAGGACUCAGAAAAUAUUCUGGCUCAUUUUUAAAAUAAAAAAGUUAAAAAAAUCUUUUAUUCUGAAAAAUUAAAAGAAGAGAGGCUCUUGUCUUUUAAAGGAAGAUAAUUCUCAAAUGGAUACUUCCCAUCAACUAUGGCUAGUAAGAGUAAUACAUAUGAACAUUAGUUUUUCUUUAAUGUAUGUACUCCAAAUGACGUUUCGGUCUUAGUUUUCUUGAUGUUCAUCUCUGUGGAAAAUGUGAUUAAGCAAUAAUCUGUAUUUCAGUACAUAUCAAAAGCUCUAAUACAAGUUUUCUCAUAAAUAGUUUUUAAACUUGAAUUUGCAUAGCUACUUUGUGAAUUGUAGGGCAGGAGUGGCCUUUAUAUGGUCAUUCAUAAAGUAUCUUCUCUCUUUUUUACGAGCAUAAAAUAAAGGCGCUAUUAUAAGAAGUUUUCACUGAAAAUGUUAACAGAGCAUAUUUCCCAGUGUAAAAAAGAAAAAAGUAAUUUAAACUGUUUUUACUGAAUCAUAAUUAAGA